UCUCGGCUUAUCACCGGCAGUCCCCCUAGAGUGCCCAACUGAAUGAUGGCAACUAAGGGCGAGGGUUGCGCUCGUUGCGGGACUUAACCUGACAUCUCACGACACGAGCUGACGACAGCCAUGCAGCACCUGUGUUCCACCCACCCGAAGUGAAGGACCUGAUCUCUCAGGCCCAUAGUGGACAUGUCAAGGACUGGUAAGGUUCUUCGCGUUGCGUCGAAUUAAACCACAUACUCCACCGCUUGUGCGGGCCCCCGUCAAUUCAUUUGAGUUUCAACCUUGCGGUCGUACUCCCCAGGCGGGGUACUUCCUGCGUUAGCGCCGGCACCCAGAGGGUCGCUCCCCCAGGCACCUAGUACCCAUCGUUUACGGCGUGGACUAC
rnacentral:misc_RNA from 1 species